AGCAGCCGCGGUAAUUCCAGCUCCAAUAGCGUAUAUUAAAGUUGUUGCAGUUAAAAAGCUCGUAGUUGAAUUUCGGGAUCAAUUUGCUGGUCGUGCCUUCGGUACGCACUGGUAUUAUUGGUUUCUCCUUUCUGAUGAAUCGCGAUGUCAUUAAUUUGGUGUCGUGGGGAAUCAGGACUGUUACUUUGAAAAAAUUAGAGUGUUUAAAGCAGGCUCACGCUUGAAUACAUUAGCAUGGAAUAAUGAAAUAGGACGUUUGAUUCUAUUUUGUUGGUUUCUAGGAUCGACGUAAUGAUUAAUAGGGAUAGUUGGGGGCAUUAGUAUUCAAUUGUCAGAGGUGAAAUUCUUGGAUUUAUUGAAGACUAACUACUGCGAAAGCAUUUGCCAAGGAUGUUUUCAUUAAUCAAGAACGAAAGUUAGGGGAUCGAAGACGAUCAGAUACCGUCGUAG
rnacentral:rRNA from 1 species